rnacentral:rRNA from 1 species
UAAUCCUGCCCAGUGACCAAAAGGUUAAACGGCCGCGGUACCCUGACCGUGCUAAGGUAGCAUAAUAAAUCGCCCUUUAAUUGUGGGCUAGUAUGAAUGGAUAAACGAAGGCUUAACUGUCUCAACUAUACUAAUAAAAAUUGGCCUUUAGGUGAAAAUACCUAAAUAUAAUUAGAGGACAAAAAGACCCCGUAGAGCUUAGUAUUUUAGCAAUUCCGUUAUUUAUAUUUUUAUAAAAAAACAUCUUUGGUAAAAAUAUUUGGCUGGGGCGGCUAUGGAGCAAAAAACCUCCACAAAAAACAAAAGAUACACAAAUCUUCUUCAUAAACUGAUCCUAAUCUAGAUCAAAGAAAACAGCUACCUCGGGGAUAACAGAUUAAUCCCUUUUGAGAGUUCACAUUGACAAAGGAUUUUGAUACCUCGAUGUUGGCUUAGGGUCUCCAGAGGGUCAGCAGCAGCCCUCCACGGUAGGUUUGUUCAACCUUUAAAACCCUACGUGAUCUGGUUCAAAACC